UACAGAGGUGGCAAGCGUUGUUCGGAUUUAUUGGGCGUAAAGGGUUCGUAGGCGGCCCGGAAAGUUGGAUGUGAAAUCCCACAGCUUAACUGUGGAACUGCAUUCAAAACUCCCGGGCUAGAGGGUGAGAGGGGUAAAGGGAAUUCCCGGUGUAAGGGUGAAAUCUGCAGAGAUCGGGAAGAACACCAGUCGCGAAGGCGCUUUACUGGCUCGCUUCUGACGCUGAGGGACGAAAGCUAGGGGAGCAAACGGG
rnacentral:rRNA from 1 species